rnacentral:misc_RNA from 1 species
GGGGAAGGCAAGCUAUAGGCAUUUCAAACUUUCAGUCAGGAAAGGGGGAAGACUGGAAGUUUUAGUGGGAAGAGAAGGAAAGAUGCCAGAUAUUGAAGGGGUGUCAAGCAGGAAAGGCAAAGAAAAGAAGUUUUAGACAAGAUUUAGAGCAGCUCAGCUUCAGGAGACAGCUGAUAAUAAGCAUUUUUUGUAGUUUGAGUAAAUCAAUGGUCUUUUUCCAUGACUGGCAGUCAAAAUAUAGUGGGAUUGCAUUUGAAAACUCUGCAGCCAAAAUAUGGUGGGAAUACAUUUGAAAACUCUAUUAUCUGUACUUGGUACAAUUUCUGAAUUAAGCAUUCGCGAG